GUCAUGAAUGACCAUGGAAUUGCACCUAGGAAGUUACCCUCCGAGGCACAAGUCCGGGCAAGGUUGCUUAUAGAAAACCACCAAUCACUCAUACACACCUGCCUCCCUUCUUUACACCACCGACGUUAUCCAAAGGAAAGGCAAAGGCUGAUACAGUUUGGCACCAGUGACGCCGCAACUCAUUUCUACAGCUGAGUGAACAGGAGCAACGUGAAAUAAAAUGUCUUGCUCAAGAACACAACACAGCCCGGUCCGGGAAUCGAACUCGCAACUUCAUAAUUGUGAACUCGACGCUCUAACCACUGAGCCAUGCGCCUCCAAAGGUUAUAAAAUGUGAAAGUAUUGAACCCCUAAACAUAAUAACCUUAGGCAUUACACAAGACUGUCACUCGGAUCCAUAAAAAAACAAACGUAAAGUGGGAAAACUGGAAUUUUGAGUGAUUUGUUUGUCGCACUUAGAUCUAAAUGUUCACUUAGUGGAAUCUGUUUGAUAUUAAGACAUAUUUGCUGCCUAUGAAUAUCGAAUCUCUUUCUCAAAAUUAAACCCAUUGGAAUUUAUGAUGGCAAUCAGACUAAGUUUUGUACAAAGGAAAUUCAUUCUAAAAUGCUACUGGAAGUGUGAAAACGCAGUUGAAGUGCAAAGACAAUUUGGGAGAGAGUUUUAAACAGAUCCACCAACGCGACUUGCCAUCACUCGAGAAUGUCCGCAAGACCACGAACAUCGACAACCCCCACAAAGCAAGAAGGAUUGCUGGAAACGUAUCACCAAAGUCCAAGAAAAUCUUUGCGGGAAGCGAGUCGUGAUGUAGGUAUUUCAAAAUCGUCUGUCCAACGCAUUUUGAAGCGUUGUCAAUGGAAAAGUUAUGGUCCAAGAUUAGUCUGUACUAUUAAUGACGAUGAUCCAAACCGCACGAUGUGUAGAAGAUGCACACUUUUCAACAAAGAUUGUGUGGAGUAAUGAGGCCACAUUCAAAUUAAAUGGUUCAAUUAACCGCCACGUUUGCACCUACUGGGGACCUGAGAAUCUGCAUGUUAUGGUGGAACACCAUGUUAAUUUACCAGGUGUUACAGUGUGGCGUGGCUUAUCAGCAAGAGGAUUGAUUGGGCCAUUGUUUUUUGACGCUACUGUGAGUGGUCAAUGCACACAAAUACCAAACGAAUUGUUUCGUGAUGUUUGUGAUUCCAUUGCUUCGAGUUGCCAGCAGUGCCUGGACCAGACCGGACAUCAGUUUGAAGA